rnacentral:rRNA from 1 species
UACGUAGGGAGCAAGCGUUGUCCGGAAUCAUUGGGCGUAAAGCGCGCGUAGGUGGCCUCAUAAGUCCGCUGUGAAAGUCCAAGGCUCAACCUUGGAAAGCCGGUGGAUACUGUGAGGCUAGAGUACGGAAGAGGCGAGUGGAAUUCCUGGUGUAGCGGUGGAAUGCGCAGAUAUCAGGAGGAACACCAAUAGCGAAGGCAGCUCGCUGGGACGUUACUGACACUAAGGCGCGAAAGCGUGGGGAGCGAACAGG